UCAGAAGUUGUACUCGUUCGUCACCGUUCAUCGCUGUCCGUCGCCAUGCUCUCACAACUCAAACUGUCGUCAUUAAGGUAUGCUUAGGGAUAAGUUACAGUAUAUGUUGCAUUAUAGCUCACAUUAUAAAAGUUUGAAAAAUUGAAUUUGCAAAAUUGAUUUAAAUUAGAAGGCUAUAUCAUCUAUUUAUCCAGGAUACAACAGAGUAUAAGAGAAUGGUCAAGCUACAGGCAAAGCAGUACCCCUUAUUCUCUAGUACUACUAUCAGCUUAAUUAAGAAACUAUAUAUUCUUAGUGUGGUAGAUGUUUGUUGGUUCCUUCUAUUGUUUUUGAUUUAUAGGUGAGAAUGGAAUAGGGAUUAUAGAGCUUGUAGGCUCCUGUUUUUAGUGAAGAUGCUAAAUAUUACUUACAACAUUUGAUAUCUAAGCUAUCUCCAUUAUGAAAUCAUGAAAUCUGCUAUUUUGUUGUUAACCAUUGCAACUUUUCUUUUGUGUUAGAGUUAUUUAAUGGUGUCUUAUUCUCAUAAUAAUUAUACUUGGCAGUUUAAUGUGGCCUGAUCUUUAACAUUUGUAACAUUUAAGAUGAUAUAGGGCAAGAAUGGACUUUUGUGCAGGCUAAAUCCGAAAAUGUGCAGAAUGUGUGUGACAUAGUCAAGAAACAAUUGUCCCUGCUAGAAUAUUCAAAUGUUAUCGGAGAGUCUAAAUUUACUACACUUGUGAAGUUAGUUAUCUACUGGUAUUUCAUUAUCUCAUUUUUCUAAUGUUCUGAAGAUUAUUAUCUCCUUUAAAAUGAACUAAAAUCUAGUUAUUAUUAUGAAAAAAGGGAAUAGUCUCCUAUAUAUAUUUGACAAAAGUGAAGUUACUUAUCUCUUGAUAAAUUCAUGUGCUUGCAGUACCCUUUAAAUCAUAUUUAAUAAUUUUUAUUUUUUUAAAUUCUUCUACUUUAAGUAUGUUCUUAUAUUCAGUAUUACCUUAUUAUCAGAUAUUUUAAGGGUUUCUGGAAAGAAUGGAUUGAUGCAAAACCAAGGGCAUAGUGACUAUGACAGAGUGCAGUUUGGAAGUUUGAAGCCUAAUCUUAUGUCUUCUUUAGACACUACAAAAAAAAAUUACUGGCCGGAACAAAUUGUCACAUGAAGUCUUUUAAUUCUGUUCUACAAUUCUAUAUAAUGAUCAUUGUUCUCCACUGCUCGUUCUAAUGAAGCAACGACAUAAACACAGGACAUGAUGCUAACAAAUAGAAUCACAGAUACCAUAUUAGUAACAAUUUGAGAAAACAAAAGUGAUUGAAUGUAACUAUAUAUGUCGGUGUCAAACAGCGACAUGUCAUACACUAGACAUGCCUUUAAUAAAAAGUGUACAUGCUACAUUACAUAAUGUAUAAACCAUUGUAAAAAGACACAAAAUAACAUUUGAUCCGUUUACCUACACUUUUUGUACAGUUUUUGAAACAAAUAUGCUAUAACAUGUUUCUUUUCAUUCAUGUACUAAUAUUCCCAUUCCAUUUCUUUUAUAUUCUAAGAGGUUAAGUCCAAUCUUACAUAAGGGGUUUGUUGAAGCACAGGGACUAAAUGUGUAUUGGCUAAUCUUUUAGCUACUUGAUAUUUGAACUAGACAUACACAUGUCUUGAUGAUCCUGUUAUUUUUGUUUCUCUUUCUCUCAUUUUAAGUUGGAGCUAGAACUUAUUUCUCUCUAUAUGACAUACAUUUCUUGAACUUGGAGAAUAGUUCAUUAUGUUUGAUGCAACAGCUACACUGGAUGCAUUCAAAACUGUAAGGGGCUAAAAACUUACCAUUUCCUGGUCUUUUAUGGUUAGCAAAUAUUAUCCUUUUGAAAUUUAAGAAAACACUUCAUGGUUCAAGUUUUAGAAUCUUUUGUUGUAAUCUAGAUUUUGCAAAUCUGAUGCAGGCUCAUACUCUUUUAAGAAAGGAGGUCAGGAAGUCCCAAUUGAAUUACUCAAUAAUAUUGGUGUCCUUGAGUCUUAAUAGCAAGAAUUUGAGGUUUGUACUACUAUUUCACACGCAAUAUUCCUCAUGUUAUGUCCCUUUCUCAGCUCACUUACCAUAGUUAGGUUUCUUAUAUAGUAAAGUUAGGAAAGCUUACCAUAUUCGAUUGUAGAAAUAUCCAUGGAAGAAUUAGCUCCUCUUUUUAUGUAUGUGACAUUGUGACUCAAAUUUGAAUUUUAAACUAUUAAUUAUCUUUGCAUUCCUUAAUAUAAUUCUCACAUUAUUUGUAGUCACAAUCUUCUACUAAGAGUGGUCUAUUUAACAAAAUAUAUUACUAUAAUCUUCUACAAAAUUUAUUAGUGCCAAAAUUAUCAUGUUAUAAUGUGGGGUGAUUUUGUAGUAUUAAGUAUCUAACUAUUGUGGUUGCUAUUUGAAAUUUUUAGCCCUUACAACUAAAUUUGUGAUCUCAGAUGCAACAUUAGCUGGAGACACUUCUUUUUUUUUUGGAACUGAGCUGGAGACACUUCUAGUUGAAAGAGCUCUCUUUUAGCUAAUGAGAACGAGACAUACUUUGCAUUAUGGGAUUAUAAGCAUAAUUUAAGAGAAUGAUCUUGAUCCAAUGCACAACCAGCUAGAGAUACUUCCAUUAUUCAUUACUAGUUUUCUGCUUUUUUCAGUACAGAUGUUCGGUAUUCUCCCUGAGCUAUUUGCGUUAUGUGCUUGAAGUUAGCUUGCUGUCACGCUUGGAAUUGUGGACUGAUGCUUCUGUAGUGUUUCUUGUUCCCUGCUCUUUUGUAGUCUAUUGAUAUACAUCAUAGGUUUGGUAGGUGUUUGUGGAAUGUUGGUUUGUUUAUUCGAGUUACACUACUAGACAUGUGUUAUUGGGGUGCUUUUUCUAAUUUUGGGGUAGAUUGUUAAUUAGUGGGGGGCCAAGUAGUGUUCUCGAUAUGUUGGUUGUGUUCUCAGAUUUGUCUUGUACUCGGAUCAAUUUUGUUUAUGAAAUGAAUUAAUGUAUUU
rnacentral:lncRNA from 1 species